rfam:Schistosoma curassoni strain Dakar, Senegal genome assembly, scaffold: SCTD_scaffold0001404
AUCAAGCUGAUGAGUCCCAAAUAGAACAAAACGUGCGUCCUGGAU